rnacentral:rRNA from 1 species
GGAGUUAGCCGGUGCUUCUUCUGUGAGUGAUGUCCUUCCUGCCGGCUAUUAACCCGCAGGCCUUCUUCCUCACUGAAAGUGCUUUACAACCCGAAGGCCUUCUUCACACACGCGGCAUGGCUGGAUCAGGGUUGCCCCCAUUGUCCAAUAUUCCCCACUGCUGCCUCCCGUAGGAGUCUGGGCCGUGUCUCAGUCCCAGUGUGGCUGAUCAUCCUCUCAGACCAGCUACGGAUCGUCGCCUUGGUGAGCCGUUACCUCACCAACCAGCUAAUCCGACAUAGGCUCAUCCGAUAGCGCGAGGCCCGAAGGUCCCCCGCUUUCCCCCGUAGGGCGUAUGCGGUAUUAGCCUGGGUUUCCCCAGGUUAUCCCCCACUACCGGGCAGAUUCCUAUGCAUUACUCACCCGUCCGCCGCUCGCCACCAGGGAGCAAGCUCCCCGUGCUGCCGCUCGACUUGCAUGUGUUAGGCCUGCCGCCAGCGUUCAAUCUAAGCCAUAAUCAAACUCUGA